CCAGGGCACGGCUGGAGCCCGCCCGCGGCACCACCGCCGGCAUGGGCACCGCCAGCCGCCGCGGGACGCAGAGUCGAGCCUACUGUGGGCGCCUCGGGCCGGCGGGCAGCAGCCGCUUCAGGGCCUGGUCAGCAGUGGCCACCACAGGGCCCGGCGGGCUCCCGACACUCCUGAUGUAUCCUUAUUUUGAUAGGAAAUUUGUGGGAAAACCGCAUAUGGAUCAGAGUGGCCUCGUUCACCGCGAGGAAGCAGAUGUUGUUAAGGAGCUUUGUGCGAUUUUGCCCUCAGGGCAGAGAAGGGCAGCAAGAGCUGGAGCCAUGCUAUAGCCAUGGGUGGCUACCGGUGAACUGCAGCACAGAGGAGGCACAAAUGCGAUCACAGAUACCAGAGAGGUGACUUCACAUAGUUUCAGCCCAGCAAAGGACGUGGCUUAGUGUCUCUGAGAGCAGCUCCAGGCCUGUGCUCCAGUGGUCUUCUCCCCUUUAAGUACUUGCAGCUCUAGCAGCUCCAAACUGCGUAGUUGAGUUCAAAGUGUGAAUGUUGUUAACCACCCCCUAAUGUGGCAGGUCAGUCUUCCUUCAGCCAUUUAUGUUGUUCUUCAACCACCAGAGGCUUCUGAAAAUGUUCCCAUUAGUGAACUGCCCACAGCCAUUUAUAAUACUCUUGACAUGUUCCUACUGGUACAAUUUUGCUAGAGAGAUGCUUCUCGUAUUAGUGCAAAAACACAUCCUCCAAAAUAACUUAGUAAAAUAGAAACUUGUCUACCUUAAAGGUGGGCAGACUUAAUUUUAAAUACCCACAUUAAAAAUGCCAGCAAGAAUAAUUUCUUAGUGGCUGAAUUAUUAACAUUCAGUCAGUUUUCAGUGGAAGUUCUUACAAAACUUCACAAUAGACACAUAUUCUCAUUAUUAUUGCAAGCCAUUUCCUCAAAAUGUAGCAAUAGAUGCCAUAUGCCAACACUAACUAGCAAAUGCAAGUCAUUAUCUGUGUUAUUUUUGGAACAAGAUAAGAUUUUUUUGAGUGAUCCGUAGCUCCAAGCUGUCAGACGGAAACUUGGUAUUAACCUCUAUAAAUAAACAGAGUAGUUAGUAAAUGAUACUAUAAAAUCAGUACUUAGCAGAAGAAUAGCCAGCGUUUCUAACCUGCACGAUGACAGCAUGCUUGUAAAACCACAGGAGGGGAUUCUGAGAACAAGGACGUAUGAUCUGCCACUGCCUAAUGUGGUUGGGUUUAUAACAAUAUUUGGCAUUUGGUUGACUAAGAUCAACGAGGUACAAAGGAGGCCUGCAGGCAAUCUACGACUCUUCACUAGCAAACUAAAAAAGGCAAAAAGGAUUAACACAAAUUAAAUAAUCAGGGUAUUGACGCCCUCAGAAUAAACACACAAUAGCAGUGAGCUGCAGCAUGGUCUUGAAGUGAGCUGUCAGUGAGAAACCCAAGCCAGGUGUGCAGUAAUUAUAAAUAGUAUCAAGCAGUAUACUGUGAAGACUAACAUUUGAAACCAAAGCUACCACAAUAUGAGUGGGUAUAUGGUAGAUUAAACAGAUAUGUUCACUAAUACUUUUAUAAAUGUACUUGCCUGUGACAUUGCUCCAUCUGGCCUGACUGAGAUAUUUUUACAAAGACUUGGAGGCCUGAAAAAAAUAGUACACUUUAUUUAUGGCUUGAGAAAUGUAUUUGUUGAAAUUUCUUUUGGAGAGGGGAAUACCGUGUCUUUUCAACCUCAAUUGUCUCCUGUUGUAUUUUUUGAAAAAUAAGUCUCUCUUGAAAUCACUGCAUAGAAAUCUCAUUCUACAACUCAAAUUUAUGUCAAAGAUGACUUUGGAUCAGCUCUCCAUGUCAGCCUGUGUUCAGCUUUGAAUAUCUGAAUGACACAUUUUGUUAAGGAAAAUUCAUGCACAGACUAAACACAGAUUGACUUGAGUAUGCGUUGGGGUUUGUGGAGAUAUUUGCAGAUAAAACUACUUAAGAUUGAGACAGCUUACCUUAGGAAUUAGGCAAGAGGUGGCAGGGGCAUGGUUGCCCUUAGACCUGAUCUUAUACCAGCUGCGUGAAGGAGUUGCUCUUUUAGAUUUGGAGAGUGAAAAUAAGAAUACAUGAGAUGGGUUAUGGAAGUAGCUGCUGCCGUUUGAAAAUCCUGGUGAUGAAAGUAACACUACCCAGGGCUAGGAGAGUCCCACAGGGCUUAUGUGACCUAGAGCACAUGUGAUGCACCAGGCAGCAAUGGGGAGUCCCCAGCUGGGGAAUCCAUGUCUGCUACGCAGGGUCCUCAGCCAAAAAGCUUGUUGCAGGCUGCUGUCAGGAGCCAUCCAAGGACUCCAUCCUGUGAAAGCCUCUUGUUUGUGAGCUAAGGUUGCCAUUCCAUGAAUGUUUCCAAAAAGAACGUGGUGAAAGGAUUUUAGCUUUUCAUUGUAGUACAGUGACUCUUGACAUUUCUGAGGGAAAUGCAGAUUUUAUUUGAAUUCUGAUUAUUCACCGAUUCUAUUUCUGUUUAUUUGUUUUGAUUUGUAGCCAGGUUUUCUGCAGUGAUCUCUGUAGAGCUACGUGUUCUUCUUUGACAUGCAACAGAGAUUGGCAGAGAUGGUAUAGUUUCCCUCUCUUCCUGGCAUUCUCUGAGCCCGUGUUACCAGGUAUUACACAAGCAAACACUGACAAACUGAUUUCCUGAAGACUUUGAGAAUAUUAUCAUCAGUUUUAACAUGAUCAGAAUUUUACUCACCAUUUUAUUAAUGUGUCAGUGGGAUUUAUUAAUUUUUUUUAUUUUGGUGGUAUAGGUGCCAGAAUAAAGGUUCUAUACAAUGUGCAAGGGUAGAGCCCUAAAAAUGGAAAGCUCUAUUUUCUAAAGCUUGAGAGUAUCUGUAGCUCAAAGUUAGAAAAGAAUAAUAUUGCUAUACAUAUAACCGACUAUCUAGUUGCACAGGAUUCAAAUAUCUGAAAAAUAGGAAAUACAAUGGGGUAAGAUCAUGACGUUCUGUGUGACACAGGUAAGCUGCAGUAUAAGACCCCAGCCUCCAGCCUCCAUCAGUUUGGCUGAUGGGAGAACUGAGUAACAAUAUUACUGUUUUCCCAGAGUUAUUCAAAGAAAGUGGAGAGAAAAUAAACUUAUAUUACUUUGUUAUUUACUUUUACUUUUCCUGGAGGUGGCUUUUUGAAAGCAUUUUAAUAAAAGAUACCUAUCAAAGCACAUUGCAUUUUAAUCUUUCUUGAUGUUGCCUGGGAGACACAAGCCUGAAGACUGAAAUUUGAAAAAGGAUGUUUGUAAACCGGAGCAGAAAUUGGGUAUGUUCUUUAGCCAGGCUUUGUGAAGCAGACAGAAUGUCUCUUCCCUAGCUGCUGCUUUGAUUUAAAACUGCCUCCCUGGCUUCCAGCUUCAGAUCAAGGACUUGAGGAAGAUAAAUACAAAUUCUACAAAAUUUUAAAAUUUAUAUCUAUUUAUGCAUGUGAGCAUUUAAUUAUUCUGUACAGUGUGGCAGUACGUUCAGGACAGAUGCAGAAAGACAAACCAGCAUGCCUGCAAAGCUGUGGGGCAGGCCACACUCUGAUGGACUUGAAAAAUUUUUCACAAUGAGAACACUUAGCCAUUGGAAUAACCUCCCCUGGGAAGUGGU